UCAUCCUUAGAUUUCGUCACUCGCGGAAUGUAAAAUAUCUAUGGAAGGGUAUUUAUGGGUAACAUAAAUGCGUUAUUACUGGAGACAGAAUGAAUAAAACUAACAUGAUUCUACAAAAUGCCAAGCAAGCAGAAUUUCUUCCGAAGCUAGCCAAGACAAAUUCACAGUCCGUAAUGCCCCUUCCCCUUUCCUUUUGGUAACCAAAACACACACCGCAUAACAAAGAAUACUACAAGAAAACGAGGAGAGAGAGAAAAGUGAAUGGUUGUCUUUUUUACAACUAAUAUACAUUUCUACUUUAGUUGUUCAGCCACGCACUUUCUCUAUCUGCGUUUUCAAAUUUGAAGUCAAACGCGUUCAAUCGUCGUCUUUGUCAUUAAUUCCCAUAUUGUUUCCACGGCAGCUUUUUCUAGCAGUCGAUGGAACUAUGAAUGAUGGGGUGGAUUUGAUUCCAAUAUCAAGCCGCAAUGCAAAGCCUCCAGGUGUUGAAUUGUGGGCAGUUCUUGAUGUCCCUGUACAUUAGGUUGGCGCUUCUUGGAAAAAUUUAAGCCAUUCACUAUCAGGUCUCUUUUGUGCUUCAAUCAACUUCAUGGAGUCUUCUACCACUUAUUCUACUCCUGAAUUGGCAUUUCAAUCAGCUUUGGGCAGUUUAAGAUAUGGUACACUGCCACGUGAAAUCGAUAAAGUGUGGGUGCCUCUACCAGAUGAAAUUCUAUAAUCAUUUGCAAAAUUUUGGUAUACAAGAUUGGCCCUGUCCCUGAAAUCGGAAAGUGUGGUUGCCUCUAUGAGAUGAAAUUCUAUAUUCAUCAUCUGCAAAAUUUCGAUAUGCAAGAAUGAUCCUGUCCCUGGAAUCGAAAAAACGUGAUUACCUCUAUGAGAUGAAAUUCUAUAUUCAUCAUCUGCAAAAUUUCGAUAUGCAAGAAUGAUCCUGUCCCUAAAAUCGAAAAAAUGUGAUUGUCUCUAUGAGAUGAAAUUCUAUAUUCAUCAUCUGCAAAAUUUUAGUAUAAAAGAAUGACCCUGACCCUGAAAUUGAAAAAGUGUGGUUGCCUCUAUGAGAUGAAAUUUGAUAUUCAUCAUCUGCAAAAUUUUCGGUAUAAAAGAAUGACCCUGUACCUGAAAUCGGAAAAGUGCGGUUGCUUGCCUCUAUGAGAUGAAAUUCUAUAUUCAUCAUUUGCGAAAUUUCCGUAUACAAGAAUGGCCAUAUCCCUGAAAUUGGAAAAGUGUGGUUGCAUCAUUGAGAUGAAAUUCUAUAUUCAUCAUCUACAAAAUUUUGGUAUACAAGAAUGACCCUGACCCUGAAUUCAGAAAAGUGUGGUCGCCUCUAUGAGAUGAAAUUCUAUAUUCAUUAUUUGCAAAAUUUUGGUAUACAAGAAUGGCCCUGUCCCUGAAAUCGGAAAAGUGUGGUUGCCUCUAUGAGAUGAAAUUUUAUAUGCAUCAUUUGCAAAAUUUUGGUAUACAAGAAUGACCCUAACCUUGAAGUCGAAAAAGUGUGGUUGCCUCUGAGAUGAUUUCUUUAUUCAUCAUUUGCAUAAUUGGGGUAUUCGAACCCUAUAUAAGAAUGACCCUGGCCCUGUAAUGAGAAAAAUGUGGUUGCCUCUAUGAGAUGAAUUCUUUAUUCAUCAUCUGCAAAUUUUUGGUACAUAAGAAUGACCUAAACCCUGAAAUUGAAAAACUGUGGUUGCCUCUAUGGUACACUGCCACGUGAAAUCGAAAAAGUGUGGGUGCCUCUACCAGAUGAAAUUCUAUAAUCAUUUGCAAAAUUUUGGUAUACAAGAUUGGCCCUGUCCCUGAAAUCGGAAAGUGUGGUUGCCUCUAUGAGAUAAAAUUAUAUAUUCAUCAUUUGCAAAAUUUCGGUAUGCAAGAAUGAUCCUGUCCCUUAAAUUGGAAAAUGUGCUUGCCUCUAUGAGAUGAAAUUCUAUAUUCAUCAUUUGCAAAAUUUCGGUAUACAACAAUGACCCUGACCCUGAAAUCGAAAAAGUGUGGUUGCCUCUAUGAGAUGAAAUUCUACAUUCAUCAUCUGCAAAAUUUCGGUAUACAACAAUGACCCUGACCCUGAAAUCGAAAAAGUGUGGUUGCCUCUAUGAGAUGAAAUUCUACAUUCAUCAUCUGCUAAAUUUCAGUAUAUAAGAAUGUCCAUGUCCCUGAAAUCGAAAAAGUGUGGUUGUUUGCCUCUAUGAGAUGAAAUUUUAUAUGUAUCAUUUGCAAAAUUUCGGUAUACAAGAAUGGCCCUAUCCCUGAAAUUGGGAAAGUGUGGUUGCCUCUAUGAGAUGAAUUUCUAUAUUCUUUAUCUGUAAAUUUUCAGUAUAUAUGAAUGACCUUGGCCCUGAAUUCAGAAAAGUGUGGUUGCCUCUAUGAGAUGAAAUUCUAUAUUCAUUAUUUGCAAAAUUUUGGUAUACAAGAAUGGCCUUGUCCCUGAAAUCGGAAAAGUGUGGUUGCCUCUAUGAGAUGAAAUUUUAUAUGUAUCAUUUGCAAAAUUUUGGUAUACAAGAGUGACCCUGAACUUGAAGUCGAAAAAGUGUGGUUGUCUCUGAGUAUUUCUUUAUUCAUCAUUUGCAAAAUUGGGGUAUUCGAACCCUAUAUAAGAGUUACCCUGGCCCUGUAAUGGAAAAAGUGUGCUUACCUCUAUGAGAUGAAUUCUUUAUUCAUCAUCCGCAAAUUUUUGGUACAUAAGAAUGACCUAAACCCUGAAAUUGAAAAACUGUGGUUGCUUCUGAGUUGGAUUCUUCAUUCAUCAUCUACAAAAUCUGGGUAUAUAAACCCUUUAAGGUUGACCCUAACCUUAUAAUAGAAAAGUGUGGUUGCCUCUAUGAGAUGAAUUCUUUAUUCAUUCAUCUGCAUAAUUUGGGUAUAUAAAUCCUACAAGGUUGACGUUGACCUUGUAAUCGAAAAAGUGUUGUUUCCUCUAUGAGAUGAAUUCUUUAUUCAUUCGUCUGAUAAUUUGGGUAUAUAAAUCCUACAAAGUUGACCUUGAACCUGUAAUCUAAAAAGUGUUGUUGCCUUUAUGAGAUGGAUUCUUCAUUCAUCAUGAACAAAAUUAGGGCUCUGAUCCUAUAAAAGGAAAAUUGUGGUUGCCUUUAUGAGAUGAAUUAUUUAUUCAUCAUGAGCAAAAUUAGGGUAUAUAAACUCUAUAAGGUUGACCCUGACCAUUUAAUGGAAAAGUGUGGUUGCCUCUAUGAGAUGAAUUCUUUAUUCAUUCAUCUGCAUAAUAUAUAAAUCCUAAGAGGAAUUCUUUAUUCUUCAUGAGCAAAAUUAGGAUAUAUAAACCCUAUAAGUUUGACCCUGACCAUGAAACGAAUAAGUGCAUUUGUCCCUAUGUGAUGGAUUCUUUAUACAUCGUCUGAAAAUUAGGGUAUAUAAAUCUCAUAAGGCUGACCCUGAAAACGGAAAAGUGUGGUUGCCACUAUGAGCUGAAUUCAUCUGAAAAAUUGGAGUAUCUACAAGGUUGACUCUGACCCCCUAAACAAAAUUUUUGGUUGCCUUUAUGAGAUGGAUUCUUUAUUCACUUAAAAAUUAGGGUAUAUAAUGAUGACCCUGACCUUGAAUUCGGAAAAGUGUAGUUGUCCCUUGGAGAUGGAUUCUUUGUUUUAAAAAGAGAUGUUAAUUUUGAGCCCCAAUGACCCGAAACCAAGCUGCAUGUUUAAAUCUUUGUUGCAUGACUUCAAAUCAAAAGGCAUAUUUUAAGGUAUAUAAACCCUUUAAGGUUGACCUUGAUUCUGAAAUCGAAAAAGUACAGCUGUCUCUAUGAUGGAUCCUUUAUUCAUCUGAAGGCUGCUCACACUGGUGGAGGGACUUGAGGAAGAUCUAUCAUAACUCUGGUCAGAGCCUCUUUCAACAAAACUUGGGAUGGAAGAUUGGGGGGGGGAUAGAAUCCAUUUCUGGACAGAUAGAUGGUUAGGGGAAGACUGCACCCUAAAGUAGAAAUAUAAUUCCCUGUUUUUGAUCAGCAGACAACAACACAGCACUAUCUCACAGAUGGGGAAUUUUUCUGACGAUGGCUGGAGAUGGGAUCUCAAUUGGAGGAGGAAUUUAUUUGACCACGAAAGUAUAUUGGCAGUGAAUUUUAUGGAUGAUAUUUCCUCUAUUCUUAUUCAGAGAAAUGUGAAGGAUACUAUGGUGUGGAAAGCUGAAUCUACAGGAGUAUAUUCCACCAGUUCAGCAUAUAGAAUGAUGUUGAAUAUCAAUGCCUCAGCCUCAGAUGUUAGAAUUUUCAAAUUAAUUUGGAAGAUGAACAUCCCCCCAAGGGCAGCAACUUUCACUUGGAGGCUCCUCAAGGACAGAUUACCUACUAAGGGUAACCUUCUAAGAAGAAAUAUCAUUAUCCAAGAUGCUGAUUGCCCUUUAUGUGGUCAAGUUC